rnacentral:rRNA from 1 species
CCUACGGGUGGCAGCAGUGAGGAAUAUUGGUCAAUGGACGAGAGUCUGAACCAGCCAAGUAGCGUGAAGGAUGACUGCCCUAUGGGUUGUAAACUUCUUUUAUAUGGGAAUAAAAUGUUCCACGUGUGGGAUUUUGUAUGUACCAUAUGAAUAAGGAUCGGCUAACUCCGUGCCAGCAGCCGCGGUAAUACGGAGGAUCCGAGCGUUAUCCGGAUUUAUUGGGUUUAAAGGGAGCGUAGGUGGAUUGUUAAGUCAGUUGUGAAAGUUUGCGGCUCAACCGUAAAAUUGCAGUUGAAACUGCCAGUCUUGAGUACAGUAGAGGUGGGCGGAAUUCGUGGUGUAGCGGUGAAAUGCUUAGAUAUCACGAAGAACUCCGAUUGCGAAGGCAGUUCACUGGACUGCAACUGACACUGAGGCUCGAAAGUGUGGGUAUCAAACAGGAUUAGAUACCCUUGUAGUC